rnacentral:rRNA from 1 species
UACGAAGGGGGCUAGCGUUGCUCGGAAUCACUGGGCGUAAAGCGCACGUAGGCGGAUUGCUAAGUCAGGGGUGAAAUCCUGGAGCUCAACUCCAGAACUGCCUUUGAUACUGGCGACCUUGAGUCCGGGAGAGGUGAGUGGAACUGCGAGUGUAGAGGUGAAAUUCGUAGAUAUUCGCAAGAACACCAGUGGCGAAGGCGGCUCACUGGCUCGGUACUGACGCUGAGGUGCGAAAGCGUGGGGAGCAAACAGG